AUGUUUUGGUGCACAAAAGGAGAAGGGGGUUGGAUUAGAUGGCCCAAGGGGUCUCUUACAACCUUAUUUAUUAUUUUUAUGAUGAUGAUGAUGAUGAUGAUGAUGAUGAUUGUUAUUAUUAACAUUGAGGCUGGGUGGCCAUCUGUCAGGGGUGCUUUGAUUAUGUUUUGGUGCACAAAAGCAGAAGGAGGUUGGACUAGAUGGCCAAAGGGGUCUCUUACAACCCUCUUUAUUAUUUUGAUGAUGAUGAUGAUGAUGAUGAUGAUGAUGAUGAUGAGCAUUGAGGCUGGGUGGCCAUCUGUCAGGGGUGCUUUGAUUAUGUUUUGGUGCACAAAAGCAGAAGGGGAUUGGACUAGAUGGCCCAAGGGGUCUCUUCCAACCCUCUCUAUUAUUUUUAUGAUGAUUAUUAUGAUUAUUAUUAACAUUGAAGCUGUAUUUGUUCCCUUUUUUUACUUCAAAAUAAGAUAGGUGCAGUGUGCAUAGGAAUGUGCUCAUAGUUUUGUUUUGUUUUUAAACCAUAGUAUUGCCCUUCAACGAUUUAAAAAGUUUGGGGACCCCUGACCUUAGAACUUGUGUGAUUCAAAUCCCUUUCUCCAAUGAUUCAUGAAACUCACUGGAUUUCUUUGAGCUAGUUAGUCUGCCCUGGUUUUGAGAAUAAAAUGAAGAGGAAAUUAGUAUAUAAAUGUCACUAAAAUACCAGGUACUGUAGGCUAUAUUUCAGAAGAAGGAAUUGUAUUCCACCACCAAGAAAACCUUAUGAAAUGCAUAAGUCAACAAGUGACUUGAAGGCACAUAGACAGAUACACAAUAAAUACAGUAUUUGCAGUAUGUGGCAAUGGAACUUCUUCAUAGUCGCCCCUCACUUGCUUCUCAAGAUAGGUUGCUGGGAUAAUUACUUGCUGAUCUAGGCUAAUAAUGCUUUCCAAAAGAAACUAGCGUUGUCCAAAUGUGCUGCCAUCCCAGCUAAUCUGGCAGUAUUGUGCUCAAUUGAAAGAUUAGGUACAGAUUGCUUAUAGCCUGACCUUCCAACCCUUAUCUCAUUCAGAUUGGCAGAAAACACAGCUUUUACCAACGCAAUGAAUACCUCAAUAGGAACCGUGUGCUCCGUUAACCCUCUCUCUUUAGGACCGACUGUAUAAAGUGAUUAAUUGGUGCAAUUAGCUGAUUAAUGGCUCGAUCAUGUUUUAAAAAUAGAGCCUCUCCAUUAAUUGAAGUUGGCCAUCUGGGCUUUCCCACUAUGAACCAAUGAGGCCCAAAUAGCUAUUUGGAUGCCACGUUUUCUCUCCGCCUCUCACCCAUACCCCAUGACAUCCCUUCUCCAUUGCUGGAGAGCCAGGACUAUGUUUUUUCCCAGGCUGAACAUCAAUCUGGCCUUAAAAAUGAUGGCAUCUGGCUCUCCAAUGGCCAACACCAGAGGCAAAAGAGAAGUACAGUGGGCCUUUUAAUAAACAAUGUCUAUUGCUAUGUGGAAUAGCAAAUUGCAACAGCCAUUUGGAAUAGGGAGUUUGUCAUUCAGCUCUCCAAGUGGCCAACAAAGUGGCUAGUUGCUGACUAGCAAAUGGAAAUGCAAGACCAAAACUAUCCUGAUUUUUUCCCCUCUACUUUUUAUUCUUUAUUCAAACUUUUUUCUUUAUCCCCUUAAACUUUCCCUUCUUCCCCUUGUCCCUCCCAUCUUCCCUGUUUCCUUUUCUCUCCCCUCACAUUUGUGUACU
ensembl:lncRNA